rnacentral:rRNA from 1 species
UACGUAGGGGGCAAGCGUUGUCCGGAUUUAUUGGGCGUAAAGAGCGUGUAGGCGGCCUGGUAGGUCAGCUGUGAAAACUCGAGGCUCAACCUCGAGACGCCGGUUGAAACCAUCGGGCUAGAGUCCGGAAGAGGAGAGUGGAAUUCCCGGUGUAGCGGUGAAAUGCGCAGAUAUCGGGAGGAACACCGGUGGCGAAGGCGGGUCUCUGGGCCGAUACUGACGCUGAGGAGCGAAAGCGUGGGGAGCGAACAGG